GGCGAGAUGGCCGAGCGGUCUAAGGCGCUAGAAUCAGGCGAUAAUGCGCCAAUCUAGUCCUCCGGGGCGUGGGUUCGAAUCCCACUCUCGUCA
rnacentral:tRNA from 1 species